rnacentral:rRNA from 1 species
UACGUAGGGUGCGAGCGUUAAUCGGAAUUACUGGGCGUAAAGCGUGCGCAGGCGGCUCUAUAAGACAGAUGUGAAAUCCCCGGGCUCAACUUGGGAAUGGCGUUUGAAACUACGGGGCUGGAGUGUGGCAGAGGGAGGUGGAAUUCCACGUGUAGCGGUGAAAUGCGUAGAGAUGUGGAGGAACACCAAUGGCGAAGGCAGCCUCCGGGGCCAACACUGACGCUCAUGCACGAAAGCGUGGGGAGCAAACAGG